AUUGAACGCUGGCGGCAGGCCUAACACAUGCAAGUCGAGCGGAGCGGCGGACGGGCGGGUAAUGCCUAGGAAUCUGCCUGGUUGCGGGGGAGAAGGUCAGGAAAGGGGCGAUCAUCCCGCAUACUCUCAGAUGAGCCUAGGUCGGGUUAGCUAGUUGGUGGGGUAAAGGCCUACCAAGGCGACGAGCCGUAACUGGUCUGCGAGGAUGAUCAGGCACACCGGAACUGAGACACGGUCCAGACUCCUACGGGAGGGAGCAGUGGGGAAUAUUGGCCAAUGGGCGGAAGCCUGAUCGCGCCAUGCCCCGGGUGUUAAGGAGGUCUUCGGAUUUGAAAGCACUUUUAGUUGGGGGGCGGUACCUACAGAAUAAGCCCCCGCUAACUUCGUGCCAACCGCCGCGGUAAUUC
rnacentral:rRNA from 1 species